rnacentral:tRNA from 1 species
CGGGGCGUAGCGCAGUUUGGUAGCGCACAUGGUUUGGGACCAUGGGGCCGGGGGUUCAAAUCCUCUCGCCCCGACCA